CAGCUCCCGUCGACACGGUGCGCUCCACAGAGGGAGAAACACGCAUGCAUGGGUCCGCCGGAUGCCUCUGGAGGGAUGCUGUGGGUCAUAAGGGUGGACGAAACCUGCUCAGUCCCUCGCUGUAGACUGCGAGGACACGAUCAAGAAGUG